AAAUGUGAAGGCAAAGCUCUCACAGUUUUCCCAACAUUUGGCACAUUCCUCCACUUCUUAGAGUAGGUGGUUUUGCUCUGUUAUUGAAUUGGGAAAUCUGGUUUAACCUCUAUCAAAUCAUUGCGAAUGUUGAACUUUUGAAUAUCCUUUUAUUUCCCUCAGGGUCAAAAGGCUCAUGAAUCUGUAUUAAAAUGCUCAACCUCUACAGAAUCCAGUACUAGAUUAAUGGACUAGGAGAGCUCAACUCUGCAGCUUGUUGUACGAGCCUGUGAGGAUAGCCAUGGUGGAAAGUACAGUGGACUUUCAGAUUCUUAUCUAUUUGUACUAAAGUUCUGUAAAUUUGCAAAACAAUCGUUGCAGUGAAGAUGUUUCGUACUAAGCAUUUCUAGGCGGAGACCAACAACAGCCCUCUCCAAAAGCAACGUGCUCAAGUGGCAUCUUAAACAAGUGGCAUUAGAAGAGGUGGAGUUAGAGGGUAAUGCCAAGGAGACUUUGGAGGUUACGGCAGAAGAGUAAACACUUUCAGAAAUGCCUCCCUUUUAUAUGCGUGCAAGCUCUAUUAAAAUCCAUGUUAAAAUCAAUAUUAUGUAUUUGUGAAAGUUAAGUAGUACCGGAACCACGUACGCCUUUUACAAGCAACCAUUGUUUAUGCUGCAUGGCUUUAGUAUUUAUGUGUUGGGUUUUUAUUAGAGGAACAUGGAACCAAAUUUUAUGUUCCGAGGACAUAUA